rnacentral:tRNA from 1 species
GCAGAGAUGGCUUUGUUGUUAAGUGCUUGCCUUGAAAGCAUGAGGAAGGACCUGAAUUCGAAUCCUCUCUGCU